GUGUUAAUUUUUUUUUUAAUCAAUGACCACGAUUUCAUAAAAAAAACCGGGUAAAAUUUGUCAUGUUCUACGUUCUUCUUUUUAUCUCUUUCUCUCUCCUCUCCUUCUCCAUGUUCUAGCGUAUUCUAGCAUUCUCACUGUGUAAUUUGCAAACAAGUGAUUUUGCCAUCAAAAAUCUUUGAAUUGCUCAUCAAAUUGUUUUCUCCAUCCUUUUUCGUGCUUCUAUCCUUGAAUUCUCGAUCUGUUCAUUGUUCACUUUUUGAGCUCAUAAUUUGGUAUUAUAUUCGGUGUUGCAAAUCCUUCAAAAUCACCAUGGAUGAUGAUAGUUACAAUGAAGAUAAUAAUGAACUUGAAAAUGAUGAGAGUGAUGAUGACACACUGAAAGCUACUAACACGAAGAAAAAGAGGAAGCUAGCAAGUAAAAGGGAUAAUGAUGCAAAUGUCUUGCCUAGUAAAAUGUCACCAAGAAUUUUUUACAAAAUGUUGCUGAAGUUGAGCAUGGAACAAAAAAAUGCAGUGAAAAAUAUUAGGUUUGGAAGUAUUCUAGAUUUGGAGGUUAUGGAUCUCCCUAGAAGAUUAGGGAGGUUUCUUGUGGAAAAAUUUGAUUAUUGUAGUCAUUCAUUAGUUUUGGAGAAAGGGAAUUUGACAAAAUCUAAAGAUGAUGUCCACAGUACCUUAGGCUUUCAUUGUGAAGGGACACGUGUGGAAGAAGCUUCUCCAUCAAAGAAAAAUGAUUCUUAUUUAGAAUUUGUAAAAUCAUUCAAACUCCGAUGGUUUAACACUGUUGUCUCUGAGAAGAAAACCAACAAUUUUAUUUUUGCAACUAAAAAAUAUUGUACUCCUUAAUGGACGUUAGAGAAAUAAAGAAUUUAGAUUGGUGUGAGUACACAUUUUUUAGCCUUGUGUCUUCUGUGGAGAAUUGGAAGAAGAAUGAUGGGAGAUAUUUCAAAGGUCCACUCUUGUUUCUCAUGUUAUGUUACGUGGAUAGAGUUGAGUUUAAGGCAGGGCAAGUAGAGAGGAAAUUUUCUAUUCUCCGUGGGUGGACAAGUAAGAUUUUGAAGAAGAGAGCAACUGAAGAGGAGAUAGAAGGGUUUGGAAAAGGUCAUAUUACUGGUCGUUUAGGUCUUAUUGAGGAUCUCGAAAAGGAGAAUGCGUCGGAUAUAUUAUGCUCCUCUCUCAAGACAAUCUCAACUGGAAUCGUCAUGUUAGGUAAAGCAAUAUUAGAAGUUGGACCAAAUGCUUUCCAGAAUGAAAAGCCCGAAAAGGCAGCUGAAGCAUUUAAUCAAGAUGAUGAAUUUUGGCAACAACCUAGUGUCACGAAUGUUGUGGACGAGGUGUUAGCAUGUGCUACAAGUGCUGGUGAUCUGAUAUUAAUGGAUGAAUUCUUAUUAGAAAAAGAAAGCUCUCCUCCCCUUGAUAAUAAGAGACGUCUUUCCACUAUCGCUACUCCUACUUUUUCCUUGGGAUUGAAUCAAACUCCUACUCCUCCUACACCUCCCUGUGGAGAUAUAGAUGAAAGUGAAAAGUUGUUUAUGUAUAACAAUAUGUUUGCAACACGGGAAGAUAUGUAUUCACUUUCUACUGAUGAAGACGUUUCAUCAUCAGUCAUUGAUAUUUGGAGUUUGAUCUUAAAUAUACAAAAUUUGUAUCGUGGAAAAAACAAACCUCAUAUAGUGUUCUUUUCUACAAAAUUAGCUUAUUUUCUGACACUUCACAAUUCUACUGGUCAAGUAACGGAUGCCAAUAGAAUCGCCAACUUUCACACAAGGCUACAAAAUGAGCUGUAUACAUAUAGAAGUCCUUCUUUGGAAAAAGCUGAUUUAGUUUUUUUUCCUAUCUGCGACGAUAAACAAUUCUCCCUUGUGUGCUUCAACUUUGUGAAAGAUCGAGUAGACUACAUUGAUAACAGAUCUUUACCUGAAAUUCUUCUUUUCAGAAAAAAUAUGGAGUUAUUUAUGAGAUUUUGGACACUACUUUUCAAGUUUUUCUAUUAACCAUCAAACAUCCAAAGGCUGGAAAAUUGUCUGAAAAGAUAAAAACAGUAAAACUUCCAUGGAAAUCCAGAUCAAAUUUAAAGGAUUGUGGGGUUUUUCUAAUAAGGCAUGCAUAUGGAAACAUACUUGGGGCAGGAUGACAAUUGGGAGUGUGGCUUCUAAAAAAAAGCUAAAGACAAUGUUCAAGCAUUACAAUCUCUUAGAGCCAAAUAUUGCAGCACAAUUCUUCUUAGUCAGCUGAAUGCAAGGAGAACGUAUGUGAUCAGAAAAGCAAGGGAACACUUGACGAAGAAAUAGCUAGCAAGAUUGACUCGGAGAAGGAAUCAGAGAAUUGUCAUUGUUUAAACCAAUUGCUUUAUUUCUCUACUCAGACUUUCAUAGCAUCUCCAGAAUUUUGUUUGUUCAUAUCUGAUAGCUGCAUAUUAGAAUUUGAUCUUAGAUUAGGAAGCACUAGGUGAACCUAUCACACUCUUCCCAUCUUUGGAGCAUUAAAUUCAACCCACUCAGGCCAAAAAAAUGCUUGUUCUUAGUGAUGCUCUUAUUUUUUUUGUUGAUAGAUCUGGGAAUAUGAUGUGUAGUAAAGUGACGAUAUUGACAUGAAUAUGGUUCAUGAUCUUUUGCCUUGGUAGAUGAUGAGAUGUCAUAAUGAAUCUUAUAUCUCCGAAGAUGUAUAUAAUGCAAAUAUUAUUAUAUUGUAAGAAAGGAGUUCCUUGAUUUACAAGA